UACUUAUCAAGAAAGGUGUAGGGAAUUGGCCCGAUGAUACCUUAGCAACCGCUCCUGAUUCUUAGGAAUUAGUGAAAACGGUGCUACUUCCAUCCCGCAAGCGGGAGAGAUAAGUC
rnacentral:ncRNA from 2 species